rnacentral:rRNA from 1 species
AGUUUGAUCCUGGCUCAGGAUGAACGCUGGCGGCGUGCUUAACACAUGCAAGUCGAGCGAAGCACCUUGACGGAUUUCUUCGGAUUGAAGCCUUGGUGACUGAGCGGCGGACGGGUGAGUAACGCGUGGGUAACCUGCCUCAUACAGGGGGAUAACAGUUGGAAACGGCUGCUAAUACCGCAUAAGCGCACAGUACCGCAUGGUACGGUGUGAAAAACUCCGGUGGUAUGAGAUGGACCCGCGUCUGAUUAGGUAGUUGGUGGGGUAACGGCCUACCAAGCCGACGAUCAGUAGCCGACCUGAGAGGGUGACCGGCCACAUUGGGACUGAGACACGGCCCAAACUCCUACGGGAGGCAGCAGUGGGGAAUAUUGCACAAUGGGGGAAACCCUGAUGCAGCGACGCCGCGUGAGCGAUGAAGUAUUUCGGUAUGUAAAGCUCUAUCAGCAGGGAAGAAAAUGACGGUACCUGACUAAGAAGCCCCGGCUAA